UCCGAGGUCGUCUAAUGGUAGGACACGACGCUUUGAACGUUGGAACGGUGGUUCGAAUCCAUCCCUCGGAG
rnacentral:tRNA from 1 species